CAUGUACAUCUGUCCACUCUCCAUAUUGUUGAAUAUAACUUCUGAGCUUUUAUGACUUUAUGUUGUCUUGUUUUAUAGUCUUUUUCUAAAAAAACAAACAUCCAACACUCUCAGUCUUCUCUGGAUUAACCCAGCCCAGCUCCCGUGUGUCCUCAUCAGAGAGAUGCUCCAGACCCCAAAACACCUUUUGGACUCUGCUGGACCCUCUCCAGUAGCUCCUUGUCCUUCUUGUCCCAGAACUGGACACAGCACCCCAGCUGUGCCUCACUGUGGCCGAGUGAGGGGCAGGAUCCCUCCCUGCCCUGCUGGCCACACUUCCCAAUGCCCCCAGGGUCCCGUUGUCCCCCCAGCCCCAGGACACUCUGCUGGCUCAGGGACAGUUUGUCAUCCACCAGGACCCCCAGGUCCUUCUCUGCAGAGCUGCUCUCCAGGGUCACUCCCAGCCUGUGCUCCCUGGGUACCUGACCCUGCCCUUGCCCUUGCUGAACCUCCUCAGGUUUAACCCCCACAGCUCUCACCCAGCCCCUCAAGGUCCCUCUGAGUGGCAGCACAACCUUCAGGUGAAUUAGUCACUGCCCCCAGUCUGAAUCAUCGUGAAACCGGAUCAGGAUCCAUUCUACCCCUCCAGCAGGUCGUUGCUACACGAACUGAGCAAGGCUGGAAGAUCGCUGGGGACAGUGCUGACCACAGGUGGCCUCUGCUGUGCUUAUCAGGUCCCUGGGAGCUCUGCAUUCAGCCAGGGCACCCUCCCCAGUCCAUUUAUCCAUUUCCUGUGUCUACCUAUGAAGAUGUCAUGACAGACAGUGUCCAAAGCCUCGCUGAAGUCAGUCCUGGUGCCAAACACUGCCAGAAUGCCCCCACAUGGAUAUGGGGAGGGGAGGAGGCUUUGGGGGCCUGUCCCAAACUCCCUUUCCUGAUCCAGCCCCAUGGAGGUGACAGCAGACAAGAAGGAAUGCAGGAGAACCUCAGAGCCAGAAGGUAAAAUUCCAGACUUGUCAGGGUUGAAGUGACCUCUGGAGAUCAUCCAGCCCAACCCCUGGUGGAUUUGAGAUCCAGGGGAUGCAGGCCCAGGCUCCUUUGAUCCCUGGCCAGCACCAGGUACUGUGAAUGACCAUCCACAGGGAAACUGAGGCACAGAGCCCCACAGCCACCCCAAAAAAGCCCAGAGUCAAGUGGUACCCCCACAGACACCCCUGCCUGAAACAGAGCACUCACAGCAUCCAAGCAAACUAGACUGUGUUGUAUUUACACUCACGGACAGGGAGGAAGGAACAGGAAAAAGGGCAGUGCUGGAGAAGCAGGCGGCUCUGGGCUUUCCCAGAUCCCUGGGAGCUGCUGCACUUCCUCGGGGCUGGUGGCUGCAAUUCCUGCUUCCCCUGAGAGUGAGGGAUCAUCCUCAGCCAAAAGCUCCGUGGCAAACCCAGCCUGGCCACGUACCAGCUCUGCACCUGGCCCAGGUGUGUCCAGGGGUAACACGUGCAGCCACUUGCAUGCUACAGCCAGAAUGUCAAUGUUAUCCAGAAGGAAAAACCUGAGGAAAAGGCUGGCAGGAAGCAGCCUCCCUCCUCUCUGUGGUCAAGUGGGGAUUUGCAUCAGUUUGGGAUGUUCAGAUGCUACCAGUACCACCACAGGAUGGCAGCUGGCACAGAGCACACACUGCUGUGGCUGGAGCAGACUGCAAAAAUCAAACACUCAGAAGGAUCUCCCUACCAGAACCUGGGCACAACUGCCACAAGCAGGGCAGGAAAACAGCCCUUGGAAGGAAGGAGCUGCUGUGAUUUCCCCAGCUGGGCCCUGCAGCUCUGCCCUCCAACAGCAAGGGAAACGCUUCCAAAGCGUGGGAUGGCCAGCAGUGGGACAGAGGCUGCUGCUUGUCCCCCGGGACACAUCUGGGUUUCUCUGCUUGUGACAGCCAGAGCCCCAUGGUCACAGCCCUGCUCUGGGUGUUCCCAGGAAGUGCCUGUGGCUGUGCCCCAGGAGCCUCUGCCUGCUUUGUCUGCAUCCCUAAGCCCCAGGUCCUCCCAACAGAGCCCCCCGGGUUCUGGAGUGGUACUGAGAUGGCGUUUGGCUUUUCCUACACCUCCCUUCCUGUGUGUGUGAGUGUGUGCACCCCCAGAGCCUUCCAAGUGCCUUUUGGGGUGCUUGAGGCCUCUGAGCAUGUUCACUGUACCCCAAAGUUCUCCUUCUGCCUUCCCUCGUGCCCUGGAGCCCUCCCUGGGCCUUCCAGCACCUCAGGGAAUUCUGAGUCUCUCAGUGAGCCCAGAGCCCUCCAAGCACCUCUCCCUGGCUCCCUGGGUCUCUCCAUGGGUGUUUCUGAGGGCCUGCCUGGACUUCUGGGCACCCUGGGACCCUCCAUGUGACUUUCCCUGUGCCCCAGUUCCCUCUGUCUGGCAGAGGAGUGCAGCUGGGUGGGCUCCCCAAGCUCUCCCCAAUACCAGCAUGGCCCACACAGGAAGAGGGGACCCCACUGUCACCUUGAUGCAGGGACAGGUCCAGAAGCAGAGGUGUGGAGACCUGAGCUUUGUGCACAACCCUGAUGAGAGUGACUCGUGUAAGGCAGAAGGCAGGGAGAGAGGAGAGAAGGGAGAGGAGAAAGGGAAGAGGAAAGACGGGAGAGAGGAGAGCAGGCACAGGCAGCGCUGAGGGACACACACCUUGCUGGGAAAGCAGCUGGGGUUACCAGGGGUGCUGAAGCAGGAGGCUGGAGCAGGGCUCCCUCCCUGCAGAGAGAGGCACAAGGCAGCGAGCAGAACCUCCUGGAAGGUCCUGCCCGGCCCACAUCACUUCAAGCCAUAAAAUAACUUCCCUGUGCCAGCAUCACUGCUCAACCCCCUUGGUGCUUCUCCAACAGCAUCAACAGAGGGUGGGGAGAGGGGUCUGGGGUGUUGGAACUACCGAAUCAACUUUUCUGCAUCUGAGAGCAAACACCUCCCGGGGAGCAGACGGCAGCCUGGCUGCCAGGAUCCCCCAGCUCCCGGGAUUACAGGCAGAGGGAACAGAGUCCAGCAGCUGCUCAGGGACUGUGGCCACAAGUCCUGGGUGGUUUGCAGCUGCCGGGAAGGGAAAGGCUGCCCGGCAGAGCCUGGCCGCUCACGCCUGCAAACCGUCCGGCAAGAGGCAAGUCUGAAGGUCUUAGCGCUGGAGCAGCGGGGCAGGACGGUCCCUUUCCUUUGGGAAGCUGGUUGAGAACACAUCAGCUGAGCUGUGGCUGUCAGACAGGCAGGAGGGGAGAGGAGG